CCACACCAAGUUUUUUCAUUGUUUCUCGUCACCGCGCGCGUACCUUUCUUGAGGAUUGGACCAAAAAAAAAUCUCGCGUCCCGGUAAACACGCAUAAAAAGGCGUUGUAAAAGUACGCGCGGCGUCAAACCUGGAGUGCAGUGCUAGUGCACGAACCGAAGGACGACUUUUGCACCGUGUAUGUACGCAUACCGGUAGUUCAAGUACCACACCACCACACGACCUGGUCGUCUUCUUUGCUACACACAGUUCCGGUACAAGUCAAGACAGUGCAUGACAGUGCACCGUUUUGGACUGACAGUGUUCCGGGCAUCGGUAAACUUGCGGCAUUGCGGACUACAAGCACUGUGAAGUUGCCGUGAUUCCUUGAGUUCUUUAUCAGUUCAUCUCGUCGUGGGCGACGAUGGCAUCUGAAAUAGUCAGCUUCGCUGUGACUGUGCAGAGGUCUAGCCAGGAUUUUAUGCCAGCCGGCCAACGUUCUAGUUAAAAUGCAUCGUUCUGGGGGCUGUGCCCCCAGACCCCCGCCAUCAGUCACGUAUCCACACAGACACACAGACACACACACACACACACACACACACACACACACAUACACACACACACACACACACACACACACACACACCACUACAAAUCUUUCAUUGCGGCUUGCAUCUCCUUUCGCUUCGUCCAAUUAUGGGCAUUCAUCAGGCAGUUGUGAAAAUGUGAUUAUAGGUAAAUUAACAAAAAUUAAUAUGAAAAAGGAAGCAAACAGCUACAUGAGCAUGGAUCAUGUGUUCACCAACGUCAUGUCUGCAUGCAGUGUACAUUGGUCAUCUGACAAGACCCAGUCUAGCCACAGCAGUGUACACCACCAGAAGCAGCGAACCAUGACCCAACCUGUUAGUGUUACAUUUUACUGACGUACUCAAGUGCAUUUGAGCUUGAUCUUGAGUGAAGAGCUAGCACUGAGCCUGAGUAGCCAGUGCUACGUACUGUACUGUACAAACCUACCCCUAGGAUAUGGGUUGUACUCCACUAUCUCACUCAAGUGCUAGUGCAGUGCACUACAGUCUCCACGGGGUGACUGCAGCCGGCCGGCCAAAAUUACCCUUGGAGCUGUCUCAGCCGGCAGGUCUCCCUCCCAGCCGGCAUUCUGCCGGCUGAGCCGGCUUUGGCUAGAUCACUGCUGUGGAUAGCAGAGAGAUACUUUCUUGGAACGCUCAACUUGUUGACGAAGGCUUGUCCUUCUCUCAAAUUUUUGAAAAGCUGUUGUCUGCCGAUAGUGGUGUUGUAUUCAAUCGACCCUUACCUGAUCCGUCCGUAUUCUCAUCCUUGACCGUGACUGUUCAAAAGGAACCUGCCCGCAGCUCUGCAGUCGUGACGGUUCAGAAAGCUAUGCCAGUUGUAGCAACUUGUACUCGUUUCGGAUAUUUCGUCCGCUUCUCUGUGAAUACGGAAAAGGUCGAAGCAGCGCCGAAGCCGGCGAAUGCGUUUGCACUCUUGAUGAACUCCGCCGAAAAGUUGGCGCUACCUGACUAUCGUGGAUCAGCUGAGGCGCGGAGUGCCGGGAAAUUUUCAUACGUUGUGACUGUUCGCUCCAUUGUCAUUGGAGCCUGCUGUAUUCAUUGUCUGGACUUGUCAUGUCAUGCCAUGCCUUAUCCCAUAAGGUUUCUGUUUUAAAUUUUAGCACAAGCGCGCACUUGGCUGUUCUUUUAUGUACCCCUUGUAUAAUAACUUUGGUUUGCUUUCUUUCCUAUUUAAAUAACAUGCAACACUGGACUUCCUCACCAGAGGCCGGUGCAGGAGCCUGGUUUUCUGGCUGUAUGUUGCAA